rnacentral:lncRNA from 1 species
GUAUUUUCCUUCCGCACUCUGUCUUUUCAACUAGACAAGACUUGCUCUUUUUUUCUUUUUAAGAUACCCCAAUUCAACCAUCUCACCUAAAAGACCGAUCUGAUAGGAAGAGUGCAUACACUGGUACCAUGUUAAGAUACUCCAUUCAAUCAUCUCAUCUAAAAGAUCGAUCUGAUAGUAAGAAAAGAUAUGAUACAUUUAACACCUCCCUUCACAUCCGACGUGGAUGCAGG